rnacentral:rRNA from 1 species
UUGAGCAUCAAACACUUUAAUUGAAGAGUUUGAUCAUGGCUCAGAUUGAACGCUGGCGGCAGGCCUAACACAUGCAAGUCGGACGGUAACAGGAAACAGCUUGCUGUUUUGCUGACGAGUGGCGG